UACGGGAGGCAGCAGUGGGGAAUAUUGCACAAUGGGGGAAACCCUGAUGCAGCGACGCCGCGUGAGUGAUGAAGUAUUUCGGUAUGUAAAGCUCUAUCAGCAGGGAAGAAGAAGGACGGUACCUGACUAAGAAGCCCCGGCUAACUACGUGCCAGCAGCCGCGGUAAU
rnacentral:rRNA from 1 species